CGAUGCACUAAGAUUAUCAUUAUGCAAUAUAACAAUAUUCUUACAUUCAUUCUACUUAUGCACGUAACAUCCUCGCCGCUAUAGAAUUAAAUAUUAAAAGGAUGUAUUUCUUAAAUACCAAAAGUCAUUUUUUUUCCUCUUCCUAAUAUUUAACCCUCUGUUCAUAAAGAUUGCUAUCUGACGAAGUAUCUUUUAAAUAAUCGUAAUAUGGCGACACGUUGAGACUUCAUUUGAAAUUUACAUUAGUUUCUUCUGAUUGGUUUCUACUAUUAACAACGGCCAUUUUUAUUUCGAGAUCUGAAUAGAUAUUGUCCGGAAACUGAGGAGACUAAGCGUAUAAUGGGAUGAAAAGUCAUUCUAUCGAUCCAGAUAGAGAGAGAACUAUAAAUUGAUUCAGUAGAAUAUGACAUAAGAGUAUUUAUUUAUUUUUUUCCCCGUGCAUAAAAUAAAAUAGGUCACGCCACUUAAGAAUAUUUUAUGUUAAUACAUCAAAAAUUUAUCUAGAAUGUCGAGUUAUCUGCAUAUACUCCAUGUUUGUUUUUUUUUUUUGGAACAUCGUGAGGAUUUUACAAAUAAGGAGGUUUUACGUGCUCGAUAUAUCACCUUGCAAACCGUCCUUUAAUUUUAAAUUCUUCUAAAAUUAUAUAAUGUAUUCAAAUUCGUGUCUUUUAAUAACUUCAGAUAUCAUUCGUCAAUUAGAAAUAAAUUCUAAAUACAGUC